UUUUGCAGCUAUACCAGCAUGAGCUCUGAACAAAUCAGAUCUCAUAAGCUAAGCAGAGUCAGGCCUAUUCAGUAUUUAGAUGGGAGUCGUCUGAGGAAAAAAAUAAGGCAAUCUAGGAA
ensembl:rRNA 5S_rRNA 5S ribosomal RNA